AGGGUAACAGUUUGGCUGUCAACGGCCCCCACUGAGCCACUGACUCACUGGUAUCAGAUGCGGUGCCUUCUUCAGACUCCUCUCUUUGCCAGGGAAGGAGAGACUCUCUCGGGGAAAGUGCUGUUGGUAGCCAAUAAAAGACAGAGCUAUGAUAUUCAGAUUGAGGUGCUGGUGAACCAAACCGGCUUGAGAUCUGGGAACACCCUCAAUUUAAAGAAUCCAUUCUUUAGGUUUGCUUAGAAGACUGUAACAAGCCAAGCAAUAAGUAAAAUGAAGGUCUGUGAAGUUCAUCAACGUCCAAGUUUAUACUUCAUCUUCUAUGCAUCCUAAUUUUUCAAAGAUAUUCAGGUUUAUUUAUUUCUUUUUCAUUCCCUAACUCUAAAAUUUGCAUCCCAUGUUUUAUUGACAAAUUUUUUUUUUCUUCUUCUUUUUUUGGUGCUUUUGGACGGGCUCUUUCUGUCUUUAUACAUGUUCCUGAAAAACAUUUUUCUUCAAGUUUUUUCUUGUUAGAUUAGUCUCUGUGAUUUGCAGGUGAUACAUUCCCAAAAUCCCCAGAAGAUGCCUGAAAUCAUGGAAAGGCCUGAACCCUAAAUAGAUAAUAUUAUGGUUUUUCUUAUACACACAUACGUAUAACCACAAAAUAGAACAAUUAUAACAAUAUACUGUAAUUAAAGUUAUGUGAAUGUGGCCUUUCUCUCAAAAUAUAGAAUUUUAUAUUUCAUAUUUUCAGACCACAGUUGACUGAAGGUAACUUAAACCACAAGAAGCAAAGCUUCUUGGAGAGGAGAGCACUGUAUUAUGAUUUGAGCAAAGCCAACAGCACUUCUCUAGUUUUUGAAUGUUGUAAAAGAAAUUUGACAGGAAGCUACCUCGUGUUUAUAUGUGUGUGUGCCCAGAUGGACAUAAGGGCAAGUUGGGGGUGAUCUUCUGUUUGCAGUUCUUGUCUGACUGCUUUCGGCAGUAUUUUGAAUAAUCCAGCAAUUAGUUCCUAGGUCAGCAAUGUGUUAAGAAUGUUUACCUGUUUAUGUAAUGAAAUGAUAUAAUGGGAGGAAUAUCCUUCACUGGCAGUAUUUGCUGAGUCUGUACACUGUUAAGAAAAUAAAGAUGAAGCCUUUGUCAGUUUUCUUUGGUCUGCAGUACAAAUGUACAGUGUGUGGCACCAGUGAGACCUCUCCUUUACUGUAAGACAUUUGUUUUGUGUCACACAUCAAAUGGUGAUGGAAGAUGAUCUUUCCAAAGAGCAGGUUUUCUUCUGGCCCAAACAGCCCUUAUGAAAAUGGAUGUCACAUCAGCGCAAGAGUCUAGCGAAGCCUCCCGGGCUACCUGACCUGCUCACUCCGCAGAAGAACUGGCAUAAAGAGCAACUACACAUUCUCGUCAGUCAGUCGUGAGUCACCCAGAGCUUUAAGCUUUCCACUCUGGUGCUCUGCUCACUCUGAUCAUUCAGUUCAAGAUGAUCUUUCCUUUCCAUCCAUGUGAACAAUCCUACGUCACAACGGGACUCCCUUGCAGUACAUCCUCACCAGCGUGCUUUGCAGACCUCUUGUACACUCACGGAAAGUACUCUUCCACCUUUCACACAGCCUUGGACCCUUCCCUUAUCUAGCCCCUCCUUAUAGUAUUUUAUGCCUUCAUAUGCUGACAUACACAUCUGUUUCUUUGCUAAACUUCAAGCUCUCUAUAGAUUAGAUCCAUGUCCGUUUCCUUUUUUAUUUCCCACAAUGCCUAGCAGUAUGACUAAUGCCUUAAAGGUGUUCAGUAAAUGUACCUAGAUUAAAUAAAUUUAUUCUGAAGGUUGGAAUAGAUAGAACUGUGAAAUCAGACCAGACACUGACCGAGCUGCCUUUCCAGAAUGGUAGAGAAGCAGAAACUAUAAACCUCAAAUUGAAGAAGUAAUCUGGCUGCGGCCAUUGCCUCCAACACACACCCCCAGGCAAACAUGCAUAAUCUAUCCCAGC
rnacentral:lncRNA from 1 species